AUCAAAUGGCAUUGCAGAAUUCUGAUUUUCUAGGCAUGGUCCUUGUGAGUGUCCCACUCACUAGUAACAAUUAUUUGAGCUGGAGCAGAUCGAUAUUGAUUGCGCUCAGAGCUGAUUGCGCUCAGAGCAAAGGACAAGCUGAGAUUCAUCGAUGGCCUAUGCAAAGCUCCUGAAAAGGGUACACCAGAGUUUGAAAAAUGGAUGAAGG
rnacentral:misc_RNA from 1 species